CGACGACGAUGAUGAUGAUGAUGAGGAGGACAAUAAUAAUGACGAUCAUCAUCGGAAAAAACCGGAUAAUACGAAAGAGGGUGGUUCACACAUUUAUGUCAUCAUUAUGAUUACACUGAUUGCCGGCUGUGUCAUCGGGAUGAUUAUUGCGGUGAUCGUGAAUCGGAAAUGGAGUUCGAUGGUUUUUUCCUGGUUUGGAGAGACCGAAGAAGGCAUCCCGCUCGAUACGUUACAGAUUGGACAUACCAAUAUCACCGAUGCCUACGAAAGGGCGAUGAAGGCACGGUAUGUCGAA
rnacentral:ribozyme from 1 species